UAUAUGCCGGAGUAAAUAGAUUUAUAAAAAAGUUGUUCCAAUUAAUACGUGAAUUCCAUGAAAUUCAGUGGCUAUAAAAAAUGUAGAGCCAUAGAGAGGAUCUGCAAUUGUGAAGGGGACUUCAAUGUACUCAUAUGCUUGCAGUAUACUAAAAUAAAUGCCUAGUAAAACAGUAAAAAAUAAUCCUUGAGUGGCUUGGGAAUGAUUUCUUUUUAUGAAACUGUGGUGAGCUCAAGUAACUGUAAUUCCUCAUAUUAAUAGAAUAAUGGUAUUUAAUAAUGGAAUUUGAAAUCGAUGCAAAGUAAAGAAUAAAAAGGAUACACCAGCAAUACGAUAAGGGAAAAUCAGUUAGGAAUCGAAGCAAUCUAAAGAUAAAAAAAAUUACAUCCAAAUCUCCGCUCAUCGCCUCUUUUACACGGAGGUUCGCUGUAUGUAAAAG